rnacentral:rRNA from 1 species
AACCUGCCCAAGAGAUCGGGAUAACACCUGGAAACAGAUGCUAAUACCGGAUAACAAUAGAUGAUGCCUAUCAACUGUUUAAAAGAUGGUUCUGCUAUCACUCUUGGAUGGACCUGCGGUGCAUUAGCUAGUUGGUAGGGUAACGGCCUACCAAGGCGAUGAUGCAUAGCCGAGUUGAGAGACNGAUCGGCCACAUUGGGACUGAGACACGGCCCAAACUCCUACGGGAGGCAGCAGCC